rnacentral:rRNA from 1 species
GGAGUCUGCAACCCGAACUCCGUGAAGCUGGAUUCGCUAGUAAUCGCGCAUCAGCCAUGGCGCGGUGAAUACGUUCCCGGGCCUUGUACACACCGCCCGUCAAGCCAUGGGAGCCGGGGGUGCUUGAAGUGCGUCGCCGCAAGGCGCGCCCUAGAGCAAAACCGGUGACUGGGGCUAAGUCGUAACAAGGUAGC